rnacentral:tRNA from 1 species
AAGAGUUUAGUUUAAUAAAAUAUUAGUUUGUCAAAUUAAAGAUACUGUUAGUAAUUCUUU